UAUAAUUCAUAAAAGAGAUUUUACAACUGAACCGAGCUAUUGGUCUUAAGGUCCAGGCCUAAUGACCUAGGCCCAGAUUCAUUUGGGCUUUGUUUUUACAUUUGGGUUUACUCACAAAUUCACCCCACUGGAAUUAGAGGAUAGCCUUUUUACCCUUAAAGAUUGGGCUUAUAACCUGGCCCAUUGCACCAUUAUAUUUAUGAAAGUAUCACAACAAAAUAAUUACACUCUUAACAACAGUUGAUUUAAUUUUAGUACACAAAAUCAGAACCUCACUCAUUACAGCACUCCAGGUAAAAAUACAGCUUUCCAAAAUCAGGAAACAUUACAUUUUAACCUAUUAAAUACAUAAACUACUACACUAGCCACAAAUCUAUUACAACUCCCGUUUAAUUGAUGGACUAGUGAACACCUGCCUCUUUUGAACAUGAUUUAUCCAUCAAAAGCUUGUUCUCUCACAUGAAGAACACUAGAUUCAGCAUGCCAAACAGUAAAGUUUAGAUUCUUGUGCUUUAAGACUUGCUGAUUUGGCCAACUAGUGACAUCUUCAAACAAACUAAAGAAUCGAACGAGGUUAUUUUCAGGAUAAAGCUAAAGAAUCAAAGGUAAGAUGGUCACAACAAUCCAAGUCGAGAAUCAAACGUUAAAUAAAAAGCUAACUGGAGGAGCUACAAACAAGAAACCAUUUUAAAGAGAACACUAUAAGUAUCAAUGUAUCAACUAAAUUACUCAUAAUAAUUUAUUUUGAAUCUUAAACUCACAUAGCAAGGAAUUGAUGGAUUUAUAUCAAUGCAAUAAAAUAGCCAACAUGAGAAAACAACCAUUCAACACAUGAAUUCUGAGUUUCAAUUUUAUAUUAUUUUGACAAGCAUUACAUGAAGAAGAGUUGGAUUCGGUACCUUGAACAAUCAGCAACAGAAACCAGCAAAUAACAGAUAAAAACAAGAACUGGCUGAAGCUUGAAAGAAGUGAAGCAGCAGCAGAAAUCAAACAAACAACAGCUAAAUCAAACUAAAACCCAACAGCUAUAGCAGCUAACAGCAGUAAACCCUAAAGAAAACCAGGAAAUCUUCACUUUCAAACUAUAUUUUUCAGCUUAUGAAGACCAGAAAUAUCAGGGAGGUUUUUGAGUGUUUUUGUUAAAAUCAAAAGCAAAGGGAAUCGGCUCUUUUAGGAAAAAGAGUAGCUGAACUUUUAGAGAGCAUUUUAGGAUUUU
rnacentral:lncRNA from 1 species